rnacentral:rRNA from 1 species
UACGAAGGUGGCGAGCGUUGUUCGGAAUCACUGGGCUUAAAGCGCGCGUAGGCGGAAAUACAUGUGUCAUGUGAAAUCCCCCGGCUUAACCGAGGCAUUGCGUGGCAAACGGUAUUUCUUGAGGCAAGCAGGGGUGUGUGGAACUCUUGGUGGAGCGGUGGAAUGCGUAGAUAUCAAGAGGAACGCCAAUGGUGAAGACAGCACACUGGGCUUGUCCUGACGCUGAGGUGCGAAAGCGUGGGGAGCGAACGGGAUUAGAUACCCCAGUA